rnacentral:rRNA from 1 species
AGAGUUUGAUCAUGGCUCAGAUUGAACGCUGGCGGCAGGCCUAACACAUGCAAGUCGAGCGGUAGCACAGAGAGCUUGCUCUCGGGUGACGAGCGGCGGACGGGUGAGUAAUGUCUGGGAAACUGCCUGAUGGAGGGGGAUAACUACUGGAAACGGUAGCUAAUACCGCAUAAUGUCGCAAGACCAGAGUGGGGGACCUUCGGGCCUCAUGCCAUCAGAUGUGCCCAGAUGGGAUUAGCUAGUAGGUGGGGUAACGGCUCACCUAGGCGACGAUCCCUAGCUGGUCUGAGAGGAUGACCAGCCACACUGGAACUGAGACACGGUCCAGACUCCUACGGGAGGCAGCAGUGGGGAAUAUUGCACAAUGGGCGCAAGCCUGAUGCAGCCAUGCCGCGUGUGUGAAGAAGGCCUUCGGGUUGUAAAGCACUUUCAGCGGGGAGGAAGGCGAUAAGGUUAAUAACCUUGUCGAUUGACGUUACCCGCAGAAGAAGCACCGGCUAACUCCGUGCCAGCAGCCGCGGUAAUACGGAGGGUGCAAGCGUUAAUCGGAAUUACUGGGCGUAAAGCGCACGCAGGCGGUCUGUCAAGUCGGAUGUGAAAUCCCCGGGCUCAACCUGGGAACUGCAUUCGAAACUGGCAGGCUAGAGUCUUGUAGAGGGGGGUAGAAUUCCAGGUGUAGCGGUGAAAUGCGUAGAGAUCUGGAGGAAUACCGGUGGCGAAGGCGGCCCCCUGGACAAAGACUGACGCUCAGGUGCGAAAGCGUGGGGAGCAAACAGGAUUAGAUACCCUGGUAGUCCACGCCGUAAACGAUGUCGAUUUGGAGGUUGUGCCCUUGAGGCGUGGCUUCCGGAGCUAACGCGUUAAAUCGACCGCCUGGGGAGUACGGCCGCAAGGUUAAAACUCAAAUGAAUUGACGGGGGCCCGCACAAGCGGUGGAGCAUGUGGUUUAAUUCGAUGCAACGCGAAGAACCUUACCUGGUCUUGACAUCCACAGAACUUUCCAGAGAUGGAUUGGUGCCUUCGGGAACUGUGAGACAGGUGCUGCAUGGCUGUCGUCAGCUCGUGUUGUGAAAUGUUGGGUUAAGUCCCGCAACGAGCGCAACCCUUAUCCUUUGUUGCCAGCGGUUAGGCCGGGAACUCAAAGGAGACUGCCAGUGAUAAACUGGAGGAAGGUGGGGAUGACGUCAAGUCAUCAUGGCCCUUACGACCAGGGCUACACACGUGCUACAAUGGCAUAUACAAAGAGAAGCGACCUCGCGAGAGCAAGCGGACCUCAUAAAGUAUGUCGUAGUCCGGAUUGGAGUCUGCAACUCGACUCCAUGAAGUCGGAAUCGCUAGUAAUCGUAGAUCAGAAUGCUACGGUGAAUACGUUCCCGGGCCUUGUACACACCGCCCGUCACACCAUGGGAGUGGGUUGCAAAAGAAGUAGGUAGCUUAACCUUCGGGAGGGCGCUUACCACUUUGUGAUUCAUGACUGGGGUGAAGUCGUAACAAGGUAACCGUAGGGGAACCUGCGGUUGGAUCACCUCCUU